rnacentral:rRNA from 1 species
UACGAAGGGGGCGAGCGUUGUUCGGAAUUACUGGGCGGAAAGGGCGCGUAGGCGGCCGAUCAAGUUAGAUGUGAAAGUCCUGGGCUUAACCUGGGGACUGCAUUUGAUACUGAUUGGCUUGAAUUCGGGAGAGGAUAGCGGAAUUCCCAGUGUAGAGGUGAAAUUCGUAGAUAUUGGGAAGAACACCGGUGGCGAAGGCGGCUAUCUGGACCGACAUUGACGCUGAGGCGCGAAAGCGUGGGGAGCAAACAGG